ACUCCUACGGGAGGCAGCAGUCGAGAAUCAUUCACAAUGGANGAAAGUCUGAUGGUGCAACGCCGCGUGUGGNAUGAAGGCCUUAGGGUCGUAAACCACUGUCAUGUGAGAGUAAGGCAUAUUAGUUAAUACCUAGUAUGUUUGAUAGUAUCCACAAGAGGAAGGGNCGGGCUAACUCC
rnacentral:rRNA from 1 species